AUAAAAGUAUUGGGUCAGUCGUUAUCCUUUAGUCAUUAGCCUAGGUUGAGGUGUGAUAAAGAUUCAAGUGUCGCUUGGAGGGAGUAUUUCUCUUCAUGGCUAACCCUUUUAUUCUCUCAAAUUUUAGACCAAUUGACAGGUUGAGGUGUGAAAAUAAAAGGAUAAAAAACAAAAUAAUAAUAUAAUAGAAAUAAAUGGAAACAAAUACUAUAAAAACUCAUACAAUACGCGGAUUGCUCUCCUCCAAUCCAUUUCCAUCAAAGACUGUGCCCUUGAUUAAAUUCCACUAAUUCAAGUCUCUUUUAACCACAUCAAGUAAAUUUCGGCCUUCACCUCCCACUUCUUAUAUCUUCUUUCAGAGUACAAAUCUCUUCCUCUCAUUGGCGCAUCUAUAGGCCAACUUUGGAGAUGACCAAACCAUCUCAAGUCUCAACCGAUGUUUUGUCAUCUUCUUACAAUGGCUCCAUACAUAGAGGUUUUUAGUUUUCAAUCAGAAAAAUAUUCUAAAUAAAAAUCAUUUAUAAUGAUAGUUGUUUUACCUUUAAAAGCAGGCUCAGAUAUCCACGUACCGCUGCACAUCCUGGUGACUUGGCAAGAGCUGCCACCACUAGCACCAAUAAUCAUUUUUGCUACCAUGCCACUACUUUGUUGCAGGCCCAUUACUAAAAUUGGUUGCUAUAGCCACUAACCCACCAUUAAUAUUAACCCAAACUACCUGCUCCUCAUCACCACAAUUUGUGUACAUUGAUUCUAUCACACAGAUACAUAGUCAGUUUUUUGCCAAUAUAAUAACCUUGGCGUUGGUUCGAGUUUAAAAAACUAAAUGUUGAAUCUUUGUACAAGUUCUUAUCUUUGGGACCAUAUGAAAUAAAAGUAUUGGGUCAGUCGUGAUCCUUUAGUCAUUAGCCUAGGUUGAGGUGUGAUAAAGAUUCAAGUGUCGCUUGGAGGGAGUAUUUCUCUUCAUGGCUAACCCUUUUAUUCUCUCAAAUUUUAGACCAAUUGACAGGUGACUUCUUAACUUGAUAUAAAUAUUUAAUAUAAUUCCUGCAUGAUUAAAAACUAAAAAGCUUUUUGUUUGUUGACUGAAUCCUCGAAAUUGGGUGAUUUAUCUUUUUAAAGUUUAUUUUUUUGUAAGAUAUAAUCCCUCUGUCCAUCUUUAAUUGACCAUCUUUCCUUUUUUGGAUGUCCACACUUUAUAUCAAAUAGGGGCCUGAGGUACACGCACUGUGCAUGUAGUUUAUACUAUAUUAUUAGUUUUAGAAAUAAACUUUUAAUUUAAGGGUAAAAUAG
rnacentral:lncRNA from 1 species